rnacentral:rRNA from 1 species
UACGUAGGGGGCAAGCGUUGUCCGGAAUCAUUGGGCGUAAAGCGCGCGUAGGCGGCCCGGUAAGUCCGUUGUGAAAGUCAAAGGCUCAACCUUUGAACGCCGAUGGAUACUGCCGGGCUAGAGUCCGGAAGAGGCGAGUGGAAUUCCUGGUGUAGCGGUGGAAUGCGCAGAUAUCAGGAGGAACACCAGUGGCGAAGGCGGCUCACUGGCCCGGUACUGACGCUGAGGCGCGAAAGCGUGGGGAGCAAACAGG